GCACUUGACUGAGCUCCAACUGGUUGGUUGUAGGCUGUGCGAGGAAUUUCCUCAAUUCUGCCAUUUCAAAGCCCUUGAAGUUCUGUAUUUGAAAAAGUUGGACAAAUUGCAAAGCCUAUGCAGUCAUAUGGUGUCUACGCCAUUUCCAGCACUGAAGCAACUCCAGUUACAUGAUUUGGAGAGCUUGGAGAGAUGGGUCGCAACAGAAGGAAAAGAAGAUGAAUUAUCCUUUCCUGUACUUGAGGAGGUUGAAAUAGAGAACUGUCCAAAGUUGACUAGCCUACCUGAAGCACCAAAGCUCAAGGUUGUAAAGCUGGAUGAAGGCAAGCCGCUGCUCUCCUUAGGAAUAGUUAAAUCAAGGCACAUGUCUUCAAUUUCUAAGCUACUACUGCGUGUCCGUGACACAGAAGCACUGCCUCAGAUAGAUUAUAAUUGGGAUUCAUCACAGAAACUGGAACUAUCUUUGGGUGGCACAGAAGCCGCACCUCUGUCACAACUGAGCAUAUUUGGCUGCAACUUUUUAUUCGUAUCAAGCCACUCACAGCUAACACCUGGGGUCUGGAAAUGGUUUGAACAUCUUGCAGUUUUAACAAUUGCAAAAUGUGAUGUGCUCAUCUACUGGCCAGAAGAAGUGUUCCAAAGCUUGGUAUCUUUGAAGUACUUGUUCAUUUUCUCCUGCAACAAGCUAAUAGGGCCCACACAAGCGAAAGGUGACAAACCUACACAAACAACAGAUCAAGUCCUGCCACAUCUAAACAUGAUACGUAUACACAAUUGUGAAAGCAUGGCACAGCUCUUCAUUCUUCCCCCAUCUAUCAGAAUUAUUCAUAUUUUUGAGUGCCCUAAGCUUGAGUUCAUAUGGGGAAAAGAGGAGCAUCUUGACACAUAUGCAUCGCUGGAACAUUGCCGCGACCCUGCAUCCACCACUGGUAACCUAGAGCAAUCGCCGUCUCCAAUUAUUCGCCGUCCAUGCCUUGUAGAUCUAACUAUAAGAGGAUGUGAUAGCCUGGUAACACUUCCAAAUCUACCACCGUCCCUCAAGGAAUUAUUCAUCCGGAAGUGUGAGAAGCUCUGCUCUGUGUCAGGAGACCUGUGUGCACUCGAGACCCUACAGAUUGUUAACUGCAAUAAGUUACAGUCAGUCAAUUCCUUGGGAGACCACCCAUCAUUAGAAACACUGUUUCUUUCUGGCUGCCGAUGCCUUGCAUCUUUAGGAUGUGAUGGUGGUCGUGGGAGUUACUCUGCUCUUCAGUGCCGUGAGAUCGAAGACUGCCCAGCCAUAGAUAUGAAGCAGUUUUACUAACGCCAUCAAACAGCUGCUUGACAGCUUUGAAUAUGAAGACGUAUCACACGUUCAUUCAAGCAGCUCUGAUGAAGGUACGACCUUUCACUUUCCUCUUAUUCAAUUUGUUUCCUUCAAAUUUCCCUUCUUUGCAUGCCCUCCUAUUUUGUUGACGAUCUGGUUUAUAGAUGGGCUUGCGGGGUGGGAUUUUGGGGUUUCAUCUUCGUUCCGGCUUUUAGACGGUCCUUUCUCACUGACGUGACCCCACAUAUAUUUUAGUUUAUACGGCUAUUGGUUUUCAGUCUUCGAUGCAGUUGAAGUGCAUAGGGAAAUUCUGGAAACAUGUUCUAUCCCUUGGUGUUGAGAUCAGCUGAUGCGGAAUCACUGAAGUACUACUGAAACGAGAUCCUGAUCGGUCUCAGUUGUGGAGAGCAAUUUGUGAUGAAUGGAAGCAGUCCCAAGGCUUCAAGAACUCAUGGAGUCGUGCUGUACCAUUCUCCACUGCCAGGGCCUAAACUAGGUACAUGGAAGGCGCACAGGUUGGGAUAGUAAAAAACCAUACCUUUGUCUGUGUUAGAGCAACUCCAAGAGGCUGCUAAUCUUACCCCAAUACCUUUUUUAGGAAAAAAAAAGAGAAAAAAUGAACUCCAACAAUCCACCUAAACCUUCCCCAAUUUUUUAGCGACGCUAAAAAACAGCCUGCCAUCGCGUAUAUUUUAGCGUUGGCGUUCCUUCCCCAAUCCUGAUUCCCGCACACCCGCGCGUCCCUUCCGAUGGGCCCAAUACGAUGACGUGGCCUGUGUUUGAAAUAUUGGGGGCUAUUUAUUAGCGAUCUGUUGUGGACUGAUAUGCUUUUGGGGGAAAUUUUUUUUGGGAGAACCCCCAAUACAUAGUUUUGGGGAAGAAUUUUUUAGGAUACUCUUGGAGUUGCUCUUAGAGCAUCUUCAAGAGUCUGCCAAAAAACUCUUCCCCAAAACCACAUCAUCCCACAAUAGAUCCCUAAUAAUAAAUUUUCCAAUAUUUUAAAAUUUGCCACAUCAGCAUGCGUGGACCCUAAGCUGGGCUGCCCCCUUCCCCCGCUGGAGCGUUUUCGCGCUUUCGCACUGUGGCUGCCUGAGCAGGGGUUGGUCUGUGCUGAUUUGCUGAACCAUGCAUAUUAUAUGCACUGGGACUGUCAUGCCCUCAGAAAAGCAUCAUCAUCUACUGGUAUGACGUCAAUUCAGCCUCAAACUCUCAACACUGAAGGCCUUCGAGGACUAGGACUACGCCAGCGCCACCCAUUGAAUCCCAUCCCCAUCUCGGCCACGUGCCAUGCCAUGCCCAGCCGUGGGGCACUGGGCAGCCCACGUGCAGCCACUUGUGGCCACGGACGCCCAGCCAGACCAUCACCCCCAAGAGGAGGAACGCCUUAUCUUUUCACCAUGAGAAAGCAGAGUCUAACGGUCCGUGGGCAAUAGGAAAAUCAGCACCGGCGGACUCCUGUGUUCACCUUCAUAUUUUUCGUGGUCUAUAUUAUGCGAGUUAUAGCAGUCCUAGGGAAUUUGUUUGGUGUCUCGGAGUUGUCAUAUUCCUAUUAAUGAUUGUGACAGCUUUUAUAGGAUACGUACCACCUUGGGGUCAGAUGAGCUUUCGGGGAGCAACAGUAAUUACAAGCUUAGCUAGCGCCAUACCAGUAGUAGGAGAUACCAUAGUGACUUGGCUUUGGGGUGGUUUCUCCGUGGACAAGGCUCUUGGAGUUGCUCUUAAUCAAUUCUCAUUUAGCACUCUGUUGUUAACAUGUUACCCCCAUGCUUUUCAUUUUUUCUGUGCAGACAUGACCCAUUUAUCCUUAAAAGGCAUAAAGGAGGGCACUCACAUGUACGCACGACUGGCAACUGGAAGCUUCGUUGCAAGCCUCUGCUAACGACCAAGUUUGUUUUCACGCCACUAUACCAGCUGCUGGUAAUUCUCUUGUCACUAAUGUCAUCCUGUCAUCCAUCAAAGCCGUGGAGAAUAUGAUGCCACUCUGAGUCCUUCAGUUUGCCACGUGAGCCGAUGAAGCAGAAACAGAUGAUGAUGAUGGAUGAUAUAACUGCGGGGAUGCAGACUUGCUUUCAACGGUCGAAAUGGAGCUACAAAUGAUUAGUCGUAGUCGUGUGUGGUCCUUCCAUCACCUUGUGUUAUUGAUCCCGUUUGUAUGUGUUGCGUUCUCUAUAUCCCUCCAUAGCUUUUCAGUUGUUGUCUCUUUUACGACUAUUUUGAUUCCUCUUUUCCUUUUUAUUAAUAUAACACAAAAAUCCUCUUGCCAUGUUUUUGAAAAAACAAAAUCGUGAGGAUGCUGCUUCAUGAAGCUAGCAACAUGGAUCUCAUAUGGUUCUUCCGAUUGUUGGGAUUGGUGGGAUGGGCAAGACCACCUUUAAUUUGUGCAACUCAUUUAUGACCCUGAUCGUGAUGCAUUUUGAGCUUCAGAGGUGGUGCUGUGUGUCAGAUUCGAAAAUGUUUUUUGACUCUUUCAUCACCGCCUUCAGUAGCUCAUGCCGGUCAGGUCUUCUCCAGUGACCAGUUCCUUCACCUUGGUUGCGCACCCCCUCACCUGGGCUUGCAGCUAGGUCAUAGCCUUGGCAUUCCGCAUCAUCUCAGCCAUGGCAUAGUCUAGUGCUACGUAGGUUGUGUCCGUCCCGGCUUCAAACAUGUCCUUCAUGAACAUAUCCGUAGAACUCCAAUCAAAUUUAACCAAACUAGUCAUGAAACAUGUCAUAUGUACCUCUUGUGAGAAUUAAAUUGGAGGCUUAAAAUCCUUCAAUUAGUAACAGUAAGAAAUUAAUUAAAAUUUGGAGUUUUGUUGCAUACAAGUUGCCAGUCACCAGUACAGAAAUGACCUUUAGUCCUGGUUAGGAAACCUUGGGAAACCUCAAAGAGCUCGGUUUUCCCGACCGGGAUUAAGUAUUCGGGAUUUAGUCCUGUAACACCAUGUGCUUUGCCUUAUAAUGAAAGCCACUAAAAAUUCGAACUUCUAAAAUUUUCCUAUAAACUAAAAUGUGCCUUGCUAUUUCAUACCUCAAAACCCUUUCAAAAUAAAUUUUACAAAACAACCUUCAUCAAAAUUCACCAUAUGCAUUUUAUUGUGCUUGUUUGAGUGUUGUUUGCUUGUGUGCUUUGUUGAAUCUUUUGGUGGCAACCAACCCCUUGACCUCCUUUCCAAAUUUCCCACAAAUCCUUGUUAAACAUCCCUUCGAAUUCCUCAAAUCCAUUCAAACUCCAUUUCAAAUCUCUUCCAAAAUUAUUCAAACCAUUUCCUUGGGUGCAGGCUCAAUUUCCCUCUCCUCUCCUUUCGGCCUGGCGUGGCUUGCUUCUCCUUCUCCCUUUCAGCCCAGCUCGGCCCGCCCCUCCUCGCCUUCUUCUUUCCCGAGCAGGCCACCUCCUCCUCCUCCUUUACUUCCGCACGGCCCGGUCCAGCCCACAACGGCCGCCACCUCUCUCUUCCUCUCCGCACCAGCACCGCCCAUGAGAAUGGCCCGUGACGACCCGGCUCCCACUCCAUGUCAGCAUUGCGUCCGCACACAGCCGCUGAUGAGUAGGUCCCACUCAAUAGCGUCAUCCCCAACCUCGUGUCGUCUUCCCCAAUGCGUCUCGUUGCCGCCGCCUUGUCCCAUCUCCGCCCGUCGCCUAUGCCGUCGUGCCGGCCCCGAAGAAAUAUCUCGCCGCUCCAUCCCAUCAUGGCCCCACCUGUCAUCCCGCACGGUCCUAAAAGAUCUCCGCCGCCCGCUCCACGGACCUCUGUGCACAAUCGACCUCUCGCGGCUAUAAAAGCUGGCGAGCCCCGCCAUCGCUCCCCGCACCUCAAGCUCGAGCUCCCUCCCUCUUCUUCUGCUCGAGCUCGCCUCCUCCCUCUUUAGUCCUCUCCUCCCUCCACCGGAGCACGGCUUCCUCCGAAGCCACGCCUCGCCGAGCCCUGCCCUUCCCUCUUCCUGUCUAGCGCGCCACCGCACAGAACUGCCAGCCAAGCACUAGCGCCGCCACCGUGACAAACUCGAGGAGGACAAAGUGCCGAGCGACGUUGGAUCGGUAACAAGCGGCCCUGAUCUGCCUGAGCUAAUUCGCGUCCCACACCCGAUGACAAGUAGGCCCGAGUCUAACGCCGAAAAUGCCGUCUGUUGGUGACCAGUGGGCACCACAUCAGCAAGCAAGCUCCCAGACAUCACCAUGGCACUGGGAGGGUGCCUCGCAAGCACCACGCGGACACACCCGUAGCAAAUGACACGUCAUCAUGGGUCCACAUGUGAGUUACUGUGUGACACUGUGCGGUCAACAGUCAACACUGACCAGGGACACACCUGGAGUAACUGUGUCGACGGUAAAAUUACUACGCGUACUCAGGUUAGUGUACACGGAAGUCUCGUUUACCCCUUUCCUUGCACAAGCAAGCUCCCAGACAAAUUGUCACUCGCCAUGGCACUGGGAGGGUGCCUCGCAAGCGCCACGCGGACACACCCGUAGCAAAUGACACGUCAUCAUGGGCCCACAUGUGAGUUACUGUGUGACACUGUGCGGUCAAUAGUCAACACUGACCAGGGACACACCUGGAGUAACUGUGUCGACGGUAAAAUUACUACGCGUACUCAGGUUAGUGUACACGGAAGUCUCGUUUACCCCUUUCCUUGCACAGAAAAAUUUCCAAAAAAUUCCUAAAAAUACUAGAGCCACCCUAUAACCCAUCCAAACCUUUUGCACCCCAUUUCCAUCAUACAAAAUUAUGGGAAAAUAAAUUUCACCACUCAGGCACUCAUAAAUUCCAAUAAAUCACAUAAAUUCCCGAUAAAUUCCCAAAAAUCAUCUCUCCUGUCAAACUCCGUUUCUGUCAAUUCUUCCACCAAAAUUCUUCUAAAAUUAAAUCCUUGAUAUCCCUUCCGGUGCCACCAUUAGUUUCUUUGUUUGAUUCUUGAUUUGUUCAUGUAUUGCUCUUCGACCUGUUAGUCACUAACAUCACACAAACCCCUUAUGCUCAUGCAUGCAUAUACACUGUAGCAUGUAUACAACUAUAUGAGUAUACAUACACCCCCCUUCACACACCUACCACCGAUACUUUUUUUAUUUUUGUUUUUGCAAAAAAAAAAUCAAAACUAUUUAGUCCCAGUUGGUAAUACCAACAGGGACUAAAAGGGGCGGGAGGUAGCCACUGGCGCCGUGAUCGUUUUCUUCCGGUUGGUAUUACCAACUGGGACUAAAAGGGGAUAUUAUAUCCCGGUUUUGGGACCCGUGAUAAAAGACCCCCCUAUCUCGACAAGUUAAUCCUAGAUGCAUUUUCGGAAGAUAUGCACCCUACAAACCGGUACUAAUACCGAAUUUUCUAAUAGUGAAUGGUGCCGGUAGGCGUCCCCUUCAGCUGCAUUCUCUUCCAACCUGCAUACAAAGAGUCACUGGAGAUAGCGUGAUACAACCUCGGUUAGUCAGGCGAUCAAAUGAUAUAACCUCGAGUUAAUCUAGGCCGAAGCCAAUUAGCUUCCGUGUUUCUAUCUGAAGCUGGCAGAGUUAGCGCCUUGUCUGGGCGAGCUAAGACCCGGGUUAUAGGCGAAGGGGAUGAGUUUUGGACAGAUCCCCAACAUCUCGAAAAAUUAAUCUCGGUUGGGCAUUGGAGAGUUAUGCUCCUUCCCAACCGGGACUAAUAGUCAGUUUUCUACUACUGGUUGUGUAGAGGUGAGGAGGCGAGGGUUUUAGGUGAGGACGAUGAGGUGGCACCGCUCCCUUUCUCCGAUUCAACUGUCUCUAUAAAAUUGAUAUGGUUAGAUAUGUCAUAUUCUGUGGUACCACCUCGCGAUCACGAUGUGUGUGCCUCUAUAUAUGUUGUGCCAUUGCAGUCCAUUCGAUCGAGGGAGUACCAUAGCGUGACUGAACUACUGAAAAUGAAAAGCCUACACUUCUGCAACAACACAGUCUACCCCUAUGUUUACAACCUGACUUCCUCCUACAUCGACCAGAACAAUGAGGCCACCAUGGUGACCACCACCUUGGUCAUGUUUAUGCUGGCCGUGUUCGUCUUCAACCUCAACCUCUUCAGCCGCUUCUUGGACGUGAGCGCGAUUCUCAACCCUAGCGUCCGCCUCUUCCUCUCCACCUCCCUGUCCCUCUUCCUGCCGGUCAUGUCCUACCUCUUCUCCGAGGCCAAGAACCAAGGUGCAACGACGACCAUGGCUGCUAGUACUAGUAGCUCCAGUUAUGGCGAGCUCGGUGACGAGCUGUCACUUCGAGCUAGGACGAUCCUCAUGUGGAUGCUUCUUGUGGAGCUCCUACGCAAGAAGGUGGAGGCCGUCCUGGUCAACGUGGGCAUGCAGUGGUACUCAGGCGCCAUCGAUCGCUUCGCCCGCAUUGUUUGGCUCUGCUAGCUCGUCUUCUACAAUGUCAAAAGCCCCGGCAAGAAGGCGAUCUACGGCACCUUAUGGGUCCUCACUGCUGCCAAGUUCCUGCAAAGGGUCGUCGUCAAGAUGGUGCUGGAGCGUUCCUUCGCCUACGGAAGGAACACCCAGCUGCUCAACUCAUACAUGGCCCAGAUCAUCCAACAACAAGAGCAAGAGGAGCACUUGGGGUCAUCGUAGGCGGAGCUGUUGAAGAAGUGCGAGUACACCGUGAUGGGAGAAGACAACCUGGAGAGGACGGCUGGCCGGCAUGCAUGGCUACCAGGUCGAGCUGAACAAGGCAGCCGUUGUCACCGUUGGUGACAUUUGGACGCAGGCAGCAGCCGAGCCGGACAGCCUCCUCCGGAGAGAACACCUCAGAAGGCUCUGCCUCUCCUUUGUUCUCUACAAGCUGCUGCGCCGGAGGUUCGAGGACAUCCCCACAACAAGGGAGGAGACCCGGAACUGCCGGAACCUCAUCUUCAAGGGCAUGUUGAAGGAGGAGGCGGAGCAAGGUGCCGAGGUCGCACUGUUCCAGUCUUCAACGAUGAGACCCAGUUCGUUUGCGAGUACUACCAUUCCGUCCUACCCGUCGUCUUGUCCGACCCUUUCUUCUUCAUAGCCAACUACAUCUUGUUUCCCAUUGUAGUUUGUGCCUUCUGCCUCCUAACAUUGAUCAUCUGCGGCAAUGGGAGCGUCCACUACGCCUACCAGAGCAUCAAAAGUGACAACUACAUCAUAUACACUGGCGCGACGACGCUGACCAGAUGCCUCCUGAGAAACAUCGCCCAUUCACCCGAGGUGCUAGCUGUUCGCCAGCAUCGACCUAGGCACCACCACUCUGCUCAUCCUGGCCUUCGUCUACGAGGAAGUCGUGGAGGUCCUCGUCUUUAUCCUCUCCAAUUGGCUCAUCGUGUCGCUCAUCUGUCAGUACACCGCCAAGCUCCACUGGCGGCAGAGCCGCAUCCUGUGUCGGCUCAUCCGCGGCAUCCUGUGGGUGCGAAGCAUGCUAUAAGCCACCCUAACCUCUGCUUCAAGCAGCUCUCCGUGCUAGGGUUCUUCCAACUGUCGUCGCCUUCGCCGUUCAUGGUGCCAACCAAGGCAGUGCCCAAGGAGGUAAUUAAAGAUUCUUCAUCGGUAAUGUCGCGCGGUUCUUGGUUUCAAGUACUGCCUGUAUUUUUUUUAUUUUUUUUUUGCCUUGUCAUUUGGUCCGUCAGAACUAAGUUUGUCGAAUUCCUUCUGAAUAAGCUUGAGACGCUGGUCGUGCUUGUUUGUUGGUGUGCCUACGUGCCGCGUAGUUGUCGUAGCAAAUACUUUCGGUUCCAUAUCGCCUGUGACAUUCAGCAUGUUGUCUUUUUUUUUUUGAAGCGCAUUCAGCAUGUUUCGCAGAUGUUUGGAAGGAUGAUCCAAAUUCUGAAUGCACAGACCAUGUUGGGAAAUUGAUUUCCCCACUGCGUGUCUGUGUUUACAUGCAUCUUCUUACUGUGGUUCCAAUGGCCCGUCUAGGCCCAUACAGGCCUAUCAGGUGGAUGGGCCGGCCGGCCUCCUGGAUCAACAAGGCCGGUAUCCCUUCUUGCCCGUCCGCCCCCGCUGUAGAAACAAAACCAGAACCAGCAGAUCCCCCGGGCCCUGAAGAGAAAGACGAUGGCAACAGAAGAAAGAGCUCGCGACGAAGCCGGCGAAAGCCCCCCAAACCCUCCCCAGCCCAGGCAGCGGCGGCGCGACGAGAUGGCCGACGACCCCACCGCCGGCGGCGGGAACACCGUCGAGGACGUCGUCCGCGCGGAGGUGAGCAUCCCCGGCCGGCCCUCGUCCUCUUUGCUGCGAGUGCCGGGGAAUCCGAUCUCCGCCCGUGCCGACCUGGCUCUGCUCGGCUGCCCCCGAUCUGCCCGCGCAGGUGGCGGCGCCUCGCCCCCAGUUCGGUUUCGGGUUAGAGGUGUCCCAUCGUGGUGUCUGGGCGGGGGGAAUCCGGCGACGAGGCGUUCUCCCUCCCGUUGGCUCGGUUGGCGCGGACGGACGCGGUGGGCCUGGUUGGGGAAUCUGUGCCCGUUUCGAUUUGGGUGUAGAAUAGGUAUACGUCUGCAAAAUUGAUAGAAUUAGGCCCGUUUAUAUCGGUCCUGGUACUUGGGCCAUGACGCUUUGGAUCGCCCACAAAAAUCCACAAACGCAGGCAGGGCCGGUCAUCCCGGAUAAAUCCAAAAUGAUUUUUACCGGUUACCGACCCCGGCGGUUUCGAUUUUUACCGAAAACCGGUCGGUAACCGGUAAAAACUGGACGAAUUCAAAAGACGAAUUGCCAGCGCAACUGGUAAAAACCGCUCGGUAACCCGCCCGAAUUCAAACCGCUUGGUAACGGUAAAAACCGCAUAGUAAACUGCCUGAAUUCAAAAUUUGAAAAUUUUGAAUUCGAGCGGUUUACUGUGCAGCUGAACCGGUGCUGGACCGGAGCGGUUGUUUUCGUCGGUUUUGUAAAUCCUAUUUGUGAUUCGGUGGGAGCAUUGCGCUAAAGACUCGGGCAUAAAGAUAGAUAAAAGCAACAAAAGAAACGGUUUCCCAGCUAAAGGUGGUGGGCCAAGUGACAGCUAGCAGUGGAGAGGGGGGCAUUCCAGCGGCCUGCAAGGCGGUUUCCCAGCUGGCCCGUCCUCAUUUACUAAUCCCCACCAAGCUUAGGGGGUGUUUGGAUCCCGGACUAAAUUUUAAUCCCUGUCACAUCGAAUGUUUGACACUAAUUAGGAGUAUUAAACAUAGGCUAAUUACAAAACCAAUUUCACAACCCCUAGGCUAAAUCACGAGACGAAUCUAUUAAGCCUAAUUAGUCCAUGAUUUGACACUAUGGUGCUACAGUAAACAUUCGCUAAUGAUGGAUUAAUUAGGCUUAAUAGAUUCGUCUCGCGAUUUAGCCUAGGGGUUCUGCAAUUAGUUUUGUAAUUAGCUCAUGUUUAGUCCUCCUAAUUAGCAUCCGAACAUCCGAUGUGACACAGACUAAACUUUAGCUCCAGGAUCCAAACACCCCCUUAGCAUCUUUCCUUUCGAUGAAAUAAAAAAAUUGUUAAUCUCAACUGCUCCUCGAUUACCGCAUAGAUUAACACCUCUUUAGCCUUUGUGGCACGGCACCUAAGGCUCCGUUUUCUUCCAUUGACUUAUUUUUAGCACCCGUCACAUCAAAUAUUUAGAUACUAAUUAGGAGUAUUAAACGUAGACUAUUUACAAAACCCAUUACAUAAGACGAAUCUAAACGGCGAGACGAAUCUAUUAAGCCUAAUUAGUCCAUGAUUUGACAAUGUGUUGCUACAGUACCAUAGUGUCGUAUCGAUGGCAUUAAUGAGCCUUAAUUAGGCUUAAUAGAUUCGUCUCGCCGUUUAGAUUCCACUUAUGUAAUUGGUUUUGUAAAUAGUCUACGUUUACUACUCCUAAUUAGUAUCUAAACAUUCGAUGUGACACGUGCUAAAAAUAAGACACGGGAAGAAAACGCCCCCUAAUACUUUCCUCACCUUUGCAGUGCCGUGGGCCCGCCACUUCCCUUCUGGCCCACAAGUCAUGGAGGCGCGCGAGGAGGGGUAUCGGUUUCACGAUGAUUAAUAAAGAAAGACACCGGCACACCGCACCGCAUGCACCUCCACCACUUGCGUUGCCUUUGCCUUUGCUUUUCCCCGAGCUCGCCCGCCUAGGAGCUCCAGCAGCCGGUCCGCUCCGCCACCGGUGCGGCAACCACGCCGCCGUCAGAUCGCCUCGCGCGGCCACCGGUCGUCCCCGCGAUACACCGCCGCCGGUGCGCCGUGCGCGGCGGCGCUGUCCCGCCGCUCCUCCGCCUACCGUCGGCCUGCGCCACCACCAGCGCACCGGCAGCACCGCGAGCUGCCGCGACGCCCCGACGUUGGUCCUUCCUGAGCCCGGUGUCGUCACCAGCGUAGCGGAGAAGCUAAUUACCUGAAGCAAUUUGUAGAAACGAAUAGUACUGGUUCGUUCACUUAUUUCUUUGCUCAAACUUAAUUUCUGCUUAGAGUUUGUGCCUAAAUUAGCUGCUUAUUCUGCUGGUUGCACGCAGGAGAUCGAGCUACGGGCGUACGGCCGGAUCGGAGGAGGACAUAUCAGCCGGGUUCCUGUUGGUUGUGUACUUGUGUUCCUGCCGACGGAGAAGCAACCAUGGCCGAGUUACUGAUCGGGCCACUGAUCUCCAUGGUGAAGGAGAAGGCAUCCAGCUACCUGCUGGACCAAUACAAGGUGAUGGAAGGCAUGGAGGAGCAGCGCAAGACCCUGGAGCGCAAGCUGCCAGCAAUCCUGCACAUCAUCCAGGAUGCGGAGGAGAAAGGAGCCUCCCGACCUGAAGUUGCAGUUUGGCUUAAAGACCUCAAGACAGCGGCCUAUGAGGCCAACGACGUCUUUGAUGAGUUCAAGUACGAGGCGCUUCGGCGAGAAGCCAAGAAGAAGGGCCACCACAGCAAGCUUGGAAAUGAGGUAGCAAGACUCCUAGUCCCCGCUCGUAAUCCCAUUGUAUUCCGUUACAGGAUGGGCAAGAAGCUACGCAGGAUUGUGCAGACCAUCGAGGCCUUGGUCACCGAGAUGAAUACAUUUGGUUUCAGGCACUUGCAGCAAGCACAGCCAUCAAGGCAGUGGCGACAGACAGAUUCCAUAAUCAUUGACUCCGACAGAGAUAUUCUUAGCAGAUCUAGAGAUCGGGAGAAGAAGAAAAUCGUGGGGAUGCUCCUUGAUCAAGCUAGCAACAGGGAUCUCAUGGUUCUUCCAAUUGUUGGGAUGGGUGGGAUGGGCAAGACCACCUUUGUGCAACUCAUUUACAAUGACCCUGCAAUCGAGAAGCACUUUGAGUUUCGGAGGUGGUACUGCGUGUCAGAUGAUUUCGAUGUCAGUACCAUUGCAAGCAACAUCUGCCAGACCAAUGAGAAAUAUCGUGAAAAAUCAUUGCAGGAGCUCCAUAGUACAAUAAGUGGAAAAAGGUACCUCAUUGUGUUAGAUGAUGUAUGGAAUCGGGAUGCUGAUAAGUGGGGAAAACUAAAGACCUGCCUUAAGCAGGGUGGCAAGGGCAGUGCAGUACUAACAACAACUCGUGAUGCAGAAGUGGCUCGCAUUAUGACCAUGGGUGUAGCUAAAGCCCAUAAUAUCGAGAAUCUGAGCGAUGAGCAUUUAAAGGAAAUUGUCCAGAGCAGAGCAUUCAGCUUGCAAAAUCCAAAUAUGGAAGAGCAAGAUGGCAUUCUCAGUGGAUUUGUUCGUCGAUGCGUUGGAUCUCCCUUGGCUGCCAAAGCCUUUGGCUCUAUGUUGAGUAACAGGACUAGUAUAAAUGAAUGGAAGGAUAUAUUAGCUAAAAGUAACAUUUGUAGUGAGAAAACCGGAAUUUUACCGAUCCUCAAGCUCAGUUUUGAUGACCUAUCCUCAGAUAUGAAGCAGUGCUUUGCAUUUUGUGCUUUAUUUCCUAAAGAUUAUGAGAUCGAUGUGGACCUCUUGAUUCGACUGUGGAUGGCACAUGAUUUCAUACCUGUGCAGGAGGAUGACAAUCUAGAAACCGUAGGAAAAUAUAUUUUUGAGGAGCUAACUCGAAGGUCAUUCUUUCAAGAUGUCAAGCAAACACUUCCAAUAAUUGUCAAGCAAACACUUCCACUUCCAUAUCGCUCUGUUGGAAUUCUUCGUAAGUCAACCAUAUGCAAGAUACAUGAUCUCAUGCAUGACAUUGCUCUAUCUGUUCUGGGGAAAGAAUGUGUCACUAUAGUUGGUAAGCCGAGCAUCAACAAGCUGUUGCUAAAUCCGACCCGCCACGUCUUCUUAUCAAUAUAUACUACUUUCUGGAAAGAACAGGUUACAAGUCUACUGGAUCAUCUAUUGAAGAAACAAACUGCAAUGCUCCAUACGUUGUUUAUCAAAGAUUAUGGUCAACCCCUUGAUAUAUCAAAGUACACUUCACUGCGAGCAUUACACCUUCCAGCAUAUGAGUAUCUAAGUUUUGGACAGGAACAGCUUACAAGACACAUACAACACCUAAGGUAUCUUAAUCUGUCGUCACAUGAGUUCGAGAAACUUCCUGAAGGUAUAAGCAUGAUGUAUAAUCUACAAUCGUUGGACCUCUCUCAUUGCAUAAAGCUUCGUCAACUUCCAAAGGAUAUGAAAUAUAUGGCAAACCUCCGACACCUCUAUACCCAUGGAUGCAAAUCAUUGACGUGCAUGCCUCCAGGACUUGGACAGAUCACUUCUCUGCAGACUCUAACAUAUUUUGUUAUUGGUGAUUGCUUGGGAUGUAGUACUAUCGGAGAACUUCGAAACUUAAACCUUGGUGGAGAGUUAGAGUUAAGUGGUCUGCAAAAUGUAACAGAAGUGCUUGCAAAAGCAGCCAAUCUUGAAAAUAAAGAGAAACUCACACACUUAUCUCUCAAGUGGAAUGAUGAUGCCCCUGAGAAAACAGAUUCUCAUAAUGAGGUGUUAGAUGCCCUUAAACCUCAUCACCGGCUAGAGAUGCUAAGAAUAAAGUCCUACAAAGGCACCAAUUUACCGUCAUGGAUAACAGAUCUUAGUAUGUUGCAUCACUUGACUGAGCUCCAUCUGAUUGGUUGGACGCUGUGUGAGGAAUUUCCUCAAUUCUGCCAUUUCAAAGCCCUUGAAGUUUUGAAUUUGGAAAAGUUGGACAAAUUGCGAAGCCUAUGCAGCCAUAUGGUGUCUACGCCAUUUCCAGCACUGAAGCAACUCGGGUUACAUGAUUUGGAGAGCUUGGAGAGAUGGGUCGCAAGAGAAGGAAAAGAAGAUGAAUUAACAUUUCCUGUACUUGAGGAGGUUGAUAUAAAAAACUGCCCAAAGUUGACUAGCCUAC
rnacentral:lncRNA from 1 species